UUUAUUUUAAUUUAUUUUAUGAACCCUAUCGGUUGAUCGGUCAGUUUUGGUAAAAGGCACCGAAGUGUUUCAGAAUGGACUUCUCCUCGAAGGACCACCACACUAUAUUUCCCGAGUUUGAAAUGCUUUCCGACUAAUGUCAGGGAGACAAACUCUACUCCAACUAAUGGCAGAAAGUACUCAGGCCGUCUGUAUUUCUAACUAUCAGAUAAACCAAUUGGACCAAGGUCCAACUGACAGACUUUCCAAACGAAAAUGAUUUUUGUUUUCAAGGAGGAUCGUAUUCGGAUAUGAGAGUUUCACCCUUGAUCACCAAAACUUCUUCUACCACUAGACCACAAAUGCUUGGGCAACCUCAAUUUUAUUGUUGGCAACAACUAAAAAAUCAAAACAUUUGUAUAGCUUAUAAUGACUGAUUUUAAGCUCUUCAGUUGUAUCCAUUACCU
rnacentral:sRNA from 1 species